rnacentral:rRNA from 1 species
UACGUAAGGGGCAAGCGUUGUCCGGAUUUAUUGGGCGUAAAGAGCGUGUAGGCGGCCAGACAGGUCCGUUGUGAAAACUCGAGGCUCAACCUCGAGAUGUCGAUGGAAACCGUCUGGCUAGAGUCCGGAAGAGGAGUGUGGAAUUCCUGGUGUAGCGGUGAAAUGCGCAGAUAUCAGGAAGAACACCUAUGGCGAAGGCAGCACUCUGGGACGGUACUGACGCUGAGACGCGAAAGCGUGGGGAGCGAACAGG